UACGUAGGGUGCGAGCGUUAAUCGGAAUUACUGGGCGUAAAGCGUGCGCAGGCGGUUUUGUAAGCCAGAUGUGAAAUCCCCGGGCUUAACCUGGGAAUGGCAUUUGGGACUGCAAGGCUUGAGUGCGGUAGAGGGUAGUGGAAUUCCCGGUGUAGCAGUGAAAUGCGUAGAGAUCGGGAGGAACAUCCGUGGCGAAGGCGACUACCUGGACCAGCACUGACACUGAGGCACGAAAGCGUGGGGAGCAAACAGG
rnacentral:rRNA from 1 species